rnacentral:rRNA from 1 species
UACGUAGGUGGCAAGCGUUAUCCGGAAUUAUUGGGCGUAAAGCGCGCGCAGGCGGUUUCUUAAGUCUGAUGUGAAAGCCCACGGCUCAACCGUGGAGGGUCAUUGGAAACUGGGGAACUUGAGUGCAGAAGAGAAGAGCGGAAUUCCACGUGUAGCGGUGAAAUGCGUAGAGAUGUGGAGGAACACCAGUGGCGAAGGCGGCUUUUUGGUCUGUAACUGACGCUGAGGCGCGAAAGCGUGGGGAGCAAACAGGG